UUGAACGCUGGCGGCAUGCUUUACACAUGCAAGUCGAACGCGAAAGGGGGCAACCCUGAGUAGAGUGGCGAACGGGUGAGUAAUGCAUCGGAACGUGUCCUGUAGUGGGGGACAACCUCGAGAAAUCGAGGCUAAUACCCCAUACGUCCUACGGGAGAAAGUGGGGGACCGCAAGGCCUCACGCUAUAGGAGCGGCCGAUGCCGGAUUAGCUAGUUGGUGGGGUAAAGGCUCACCAAGGCGACGAUCCGUAGCUGGUCUGAGAGGAUGAUCAGCCACACUGGGACUGAGACACGGCCCAGACUCCUACGGGAGGCAGCAGUGGGGAAUUUUGGACAAUGGGCGAAAGCCUGAUCCAGCCAUGCCGCGUGAGUGAAGAAGGCCUUCGGGUUGUAAAGCUCUUUCAGACGGAAAGAAAUCGGGCGCGUGAAUAGCGUGCCUGGAUGACGGUACCGUCAGAAGAAGCACCGGCUAACUACGU
rnacentral:rRNA from 1 species